rnacentral:rRNA from 1 species
ACGGAGGGUGCAAGCGUUAAUCGGAAUUACUGGGCGUAAAGCGCACGCAGGCGGUUUGUUAAGUCAGAUGUGAAAUCCCCGGGCUCAACCUGGGAACUGCAUCUGAUACUGGUGAGCUUGAGUCUCGUAGAGGGGGGUAGAAUUCCAGGUGUAGCGGUGAAAUGCGUAGAGAUCAAGAGGAACGCCGAAGGCGAAGGCGGUGCACUGGGCGUGGACUGACGCUGAGGUGCGAAAGCGUGGGGAGCAAACGG